AACGAACGCUGGCGGCAGGCCUAACACAUGCAAGUCGAGCGAGGACUUCGGUCCUAGCGGCGGACGGGUGAGUAACGCGUGGGAACGUGCCCUUUGCUUCGGAAUAGCCCUGGGAAACUGGGAGUAAUACCGGAUGAGCCCUUUGGGGGAAAGAUUUAUCGGCGAAGGAUCGGCCCGCGUUGGAUUAGGUAGUUGGUGGGGUAAUGGCCUACCAAGCCGACGAUCCAUAGCUGGUUUGAGAGGAUGAUCAGCCACACUGGGACUGAGACACGGCCCAGACUCCUACGGGAGGCAGCAGUGGGGAAUCUUAGACAAUGGGGGAAACCCUGAUCUAGCCAUGCCGCGGGAGCGAUGAAGGCCUUAGGGUUGUAAAGCUCUUUCAGCUGGGAAGAUAAUGACGGUACCAGCAGAAGAAGCCCCGGCUAACUCCGG
rnacentral:rRNA from 1 species